UACGGAGGGGGCUAGCGUUGUUCGGAAUUACUGGGCGUAAAGCGCGCGUAGGCGGACCUGCAAGUCGGGGGUGAAAGCCCGAGGCUCAACCUCGGAACUGCCUUCGAUACUGCGGGUCUCGAGUCCGGGAGAGGUGAGUGGAAUUCCUAGUGUAGAGGUGAAAUUCGUAGAUAUUAGGAAGAACACCAGUGGCGAAGGCGGCUACCUGGCCCACUCUUGACGCUGAGGCGCGAAAGCUAGGGGAGCAAACGGG
rnacentral:rRNA from 1 species